rnacentral:lncRNA from 1 species
CCGCGUCGCUCCCCCUGAGCUCGAAACCCUAAGGCGCCGCCUCCCAAAAUUCAUCGCCUCGUCUGAGCUCGAAAUCGCCAAGACGCUCCCAAUCGACGCGCUCCCCUCCUUCAUCUCCUCAAUCUCCACCACCGACAAGUUCCCGUCCACUGCCAGUGCUCCGGCCGGUCUAGAUUCCGGGAACUCGCUCUCGCCCUACCUCUCGCCG